AUUGAACGCUGGCGGCAGGCCUAACACAUGCAAGUCGAACGGUAGCACAGAGAGCUUGCUCUCGGGUGACGAGUGGCGGACGGGUGAGUAACGUCUGGGAAACUGCCCGAUGGAGGGGGAUAACUACUGGAAACGGUAGCUAAUACCGCAUAACGUCGCAAGACCAAAGUGGGGGACCUUCGGGCCUCACACCAUCGGAUGUGCCCAGAUGGGAUUAGCUAGUAGGUGGGGUAAUGGCUCACCUAGGCGACGAUCCCUAGCUGGUCUGAGAGGAUGACCAGCCACACUGGAACUGGGACACGGUCCAGACUCCUACGGGAGGCAGCAGUGGGGAAUAUUGCACAAUGGGCGCAAGCCUGAUGCAGCCAUGCCGCGUGUAUGAAGAAGGCCUUCGGGUUGUAAAGUACUUUCAGCGGGAGGAAGGCGGUGAAGUUAAUAACUUCACCGAUUGACGUUACCCGCAGAAGAAGCACCGGCUAACUCCGUGCCAGCAGCCGCCGUAA
rnacentral:rRNA from 1 species